GUUGAAAUUAAAGGUGUACCGCCAGCGCCAAAACUAGCAGGUGUGUGUUUAACGUGGUCAUAAGUGAACACCUGGGAUCAUAAAGUCACAUUUGACGCCAUCAUGACAUCGACACAACUGUGAGGAUUCAUCUAAACGGGAAUAUAUGAACAUGCCAGCAGUCAGCAUCCUGAUGACAGCUGACCUUGUACAGUGAGGCAGAGAUUGUGUUGACGACUACGGUCUCAGGCCCGAAGAGUGAAAGCUCCCCUGAGGUUGAACAACAAUCCGAGCCAGGGAAGAAAGGCGGAGGAAGUGCAGACCGUGUGAUGACCCGAGUAGAAAAACAAGACCAAAACGGCAGCGAGACAAAUGGACCGCUGGACAAAGGCGCCUCAGGCAGGUUUGGCUCCUACUGCUGGGGGAAUCACACUUUAUCACGAUGGGAACGCUCCUGAGCCAGCCUCAUUGGUAUGCUGCACCAAAACACCCGAGCAGCACACCAUAGAUAGUAAAAGGCCUUCACUGUAAUGUGAUGAUUUGUUAGCGUGACAUUGCUGAUGCACACCGACGCUAAUGCUGAUAAACACCAAAAUGCCAUUUUUCAGUGGAAAUAUUCAUUAUGUUCCAAGAGAAGGAGUUCCACUCCACAUGUGUAGGUGGCGGCGUUGCGCAAACAAAGUGACCGCCUGACAAACCCAGCAAUUGAUUUCUUUCACCACAGCUCCUUUUUCUGGAUUUGGUGGGUCACUGCCCCCAUCUGGACCCGAGGCUGCAACUUUUGAACAUGCAACAUGUCCUUUAAAAGGAAACUAACUGGUACAAACCCUGUUUCCAUAUGAGUUGGGAAAUGGUGUUAGAUGUAAAUAUAAACAAAAUACAAUCAUUUGCAAAUCCUUUUCAAGCCAUAUUCAGUUGAAUGCGCUACAAAGACAACAUAUUUCAUGUUCAAACUCAUAAAUUGUAUUUAUUUUUUUAGAAUUUCAUGGCUGCAACACGUGCCAAAGUAGUUGGGAAAGGGCAUGUUCACCACUGUGUUACAUGGCCUUUCCUUUUAACAACACUCAGUAAAGGUUUGGGAACUGAGGAGACACAUUUUUGAAGUGGAAUUCUUUCCCAUUCUUGCUUGAUGUACAGCUUAAGUUGUUCAACAGUCCGGGGGUCUCCCUUCUGCUAUUUUAGGUGCCACACAUUUUCAAUGUCUGGACUACAGGCAGGCCAGUCUAGU